UGAGCUGAUAGCUCAAAUGCAGAGCACCUAACUCUUUCUUAGGUAGAUGUUGGUCCGAAUCCUUCUCAGCUCAUC
rnacentral:tRNA from 1 species